GCAGAGCAACGUGAGCGCAUGGUGUGAGCAAAGGGCAAUGGAUACAGGGACAUUCUAUGGGUGGAAGGAGCCAAAUCAGGCAGUUACCCUCUGAUAGUGAGGACAGUGAACUUGAGGACAGUGACAGCUAGGAAGAAUGGACCCAAUAAUCAGAUGCAAAGGCCUACACCAUUCAACCUGCAUACAGCCAGCUCAGCCCUGUUCGUUUUAUUGUCCAAUCGCAGUUUUCUCUUUGUCUGUGUAAAGGGGCUGAAUGUAUUCAUCCUCCCUAGGGCCAGGAGAUUUUCCAGAAGUUUUUUUUUAACCAUAUGACCUGAUAAGAAAAAUAAUCUGGUCCUAUCGUAGGCCAUAGCAGGGACAGGGAAGAUGGUUAAAAUUGAUGGGAAGAUGGAUGGAGCCAAAUACAUGACCAUUCUGGAAGAAAACCUGAUGGAGUCUGCAAAAGACCUGAGACUGGGACGGAGAUUUGUCUUCCAACAAGACAAUGAUCCAAAACAUAAAGCAAAAUCUACAAUGGAAUGGUUCAAAAAUAAACAUAUCCAGGUGUUAGAAUGGCCAAGUCAAAGUCCAGACCUGAAUCCAAUCGAGAAUCUGUGGAAAGAACUGAAAACUGCUGUUCACAAAUGCUCUCCAUCCAACCUCACUGAGCUCGAGCUGUUUUGCAAGGAGGAAUGGGAAAAAUUCAGUCUCUCGAUGUGCAAAACUGAUAGAGACAUUCCCCAAGCGACUUACAGCUGUAAUCGCAGCAAAAGGUGGCGCUACAAAGUAUUAACUUAAGGGGGCUGAAUAAUUUUGCACGCCCAAUUUUUCAGUUUUUGAUUUGUUAAAAAAGUUUGAAAUAUCCAAUAAAUGUCGUUCCACUUCAUUAUUGUGUCCCACUUGUUGUUGAUUCUUCACAAAAAAAUACAGUUUUAUAUCUUUAUGUUUGAAGCCUGAAAUGUGGCAAAAGGUCGCAAAGUUCAAGGGGCCCGAAUACUUUCGCAAGGCA